UGCAGAAUCCCGUGAACCAUCGAGUCUUUGAACGCAAGUUGCGCCCGAUGCCUUUAGGUUGAGGGCACGUCUGCCUGGGUGUCACGC
rnacentral:rRNA from 1 species